rnacentral:rRNA from 1 species
AUGGCCGGCGGCGAUGGCGACCGCGCCCGCGCGCCGAAGCGGUACAAGUCCUCGGCGCCAUCGAAGGCGGCUCUGGUGGACGAGACCGCCGAGAUGAACUACGCCGACGACUUCGACGACGAUGCCCGCGACGGGGAUAACGAGGUGAAGAAGAGGGACUUCACCAAGCUGGAGCUCAAGCUGGAUCACGUGAACCGGCCGCUGUGGGCGUGCGCAGACGGCCGCAUCUUCCUCGAGACCUUCUCCCCUCUCUACAAGCAGGCCUACGAUUUCCUCAUCGCCAUCGCCGAACCUGUAUGCAGGCCAGAAUCUAUGCAUGAAUACAAUCUAACGCCACACUCGUUGUAUGCCGCGGUCUCAGUUGGACUUGAGACAACCACUAUCAUUAGUGUCUUGAGUAAGCUCUCCAAGACUAAGUUGCCCCAUGAGAUAAUUGAUUUCAUCCAUGGGUCAACUGCGAAUUAUGGCAAAGUAAAGCUUGUUCUGAAGAAAAAUCAAUAUUUUGUGGAGUCGCCGUUCCCUGAGGUUUUGAAGACCCUCCUGAACGAUGACGUAAUUUCAAAAGCACGAAAAGCUCCCGAGGACUGCCUCGCUGUUAGCAGAACAGCUGGGGAAAUAGCUAGUGGACAUGAUUUGUUAGAUGAAAUGCAAUUGGCUGCUGCAACUGAAGAGAAGGAAACACAUUCUUUCGAAAUUGAUUCCGCUCAGGUUGAGAACGUAAAGCAACGGUGCUUACCAAAUGCACUGAACUUUCCCAUGCUAGAGGAGUAUGAUUUUAGAAAUGACACAGUAAACCCAGAUUUGGAUAUGGAAUUAAAACCUCAAGCACGGCCAAGGCCAUAUCAAGAAAAGAGCCUCAGUAAGAUGUUUGGGAAUGGCAGAGCAAGGUCAGGCAUUAUUGUGCUACCUUGUGGUGCUGGAAAAUCCUUGGUCGGUGUAUCCGCAGCAUGUCGUAUUAAGAAGAGCUGUCUAUGCUUGGCCACAAAUGCUGUGUCUGUUGAUCAAUGGGCAUUCCAGUUCAAGCUUUGGUCAACUAUAAGAGAUGAACAUAUCAGCAGGUUUACGUCUGAUAACAAAGAGAAAUUUCGAGGGAUGGCUGGUGUUGUUGUGACUACAUAUAACAUGGUGGCAUUUGGGGGCAAACGAUCCGAAGAUUCGGAGAAGAUUAUUGAAGAAAUCCGGAAUAGGGAGUGGGGUUUGCUGCUUAUGGAUGAGGUUCACGUUGUCCCUGCACAUAUGUUCAGAAAGGUCAUCAGCAUUACCAAGUCUCACUGCAAGCUUGGUCUUACUGCUACCCUUGUGAGAGAGGAUGAACGUAUCACAGAUCUAAAUUUUCUAAUUGGACCAAAGCUGUAUGAAGCAAAUUGGUUGGAUUUAGUGAAAGGUGGAUUUAUUGCAAAUGUGCAAUGUGCAGAAGUAUGGUGUCCCAUGACCAAAGAGUUCUUUGCUGAGUAUUUGAAAAAGGAAAAUUCAAAAAAGAAGCAGGUACUCUAUGUGAUGAAUCCAAACAAGUUCAGGGCUUGUGAGUUUCUAAUUCGAUUCCAUGAGCAACAACGCGGGGAUAAGAUCAUUGUAUUUGCUGAUAAUUUAUUUGCACUAACUGCAUACGCAAUGAAGCUCCGUAAACCAAUGAUUUAUGGUGCCACAAGCCAUGCGGAGAGGACAAGAAUUUUGUAUCAAUUCAAAAACAGCCCAGAAGUCAACACUGUUUUCCUCUCUAAGGUGGGUGAUAACUCCAUUGAUAUCCCAGAGGCAAAUGUAAUCAUACAAAUAUCGUCUCAUGCUGGUUCCCGGCGUCAAGAAGCUCAACGGCUGGGACGUAUUCUCAGGGCAAAGGGUAAGCAUCAAGAUAGGAUGGCAGGUGGAAAAGAAGAAUACAAUGCCUUUUUCUAUUCUCUUGUAUCAACUGACACACAGGAAAUGUAUUACUCAACCAAAAGGCAACAAUUUCUUAUCGAUCAGGGAUAUAGUUUCAAGGUGAUCACUAGCUUGCCGCCACCUGAAGAAGGACCUAACCUGAGUUUUCACACGCUCGAUGAACAGCUUGACCUUUUAGGCAAAGUGUUGAGCGCAGGGGAUGACAUGAUUGGUGUUGAGCACUUGGAAGAGGAUUCUGAUGGCAAGGCUCUCCUGAAGGCUCGGCGCUCUGCUGGAUUGAUGAGCGCAUUUUCUGGAGCGGGUGGAAUGGUCUACAUGGAGUACAACACUGGAAAGGGCAAGGGAGCCAAGAAGAAGGACCCGGCUAAGAGGCAUACGCUGUUUAAGAAACGCUAUACAUAG